rnacentral:rRNA from 1 species
GACGAACGCUGGCGGCGUGCUUAACACAUGCAAGUCGAACGGAAAGGCCUCUUUCGGGGGGUACUCGAGUGGCGAACGGGUGAGUAACACGUGAGUAACCUGCCCUUGACUUUGGGAUAACUUCAGGAAACUGGGGCUAAUACCGGAUAGGAGCUCCUGCUGCAUGGUGGGGGUUGGAAAGUUUCGGCGGUUGGGGAUGGACUCGCGGCUUAUCAGCUUGUUGGUGGGGUAGUGGCUUACCAAGGCUUUGACGGGUAGCCGGCCUGAGAGGGUGACCGGCCACAUUGGGACUGAGAUACGGCCCAGACUCCUACGGGAGGCAGCAGUGGGGAAUAUUGCACAAUGGGUGGAAGCCUGAUGCAGCAACGCCAUGUGCGGGAUGACGGCCUUCGGGUUGUAAACCGCUUUCGCUCAUGACGAAGCUUUGUGUGACGGUAGUGGGUAAAGAAGCACCGGCUAACUACGUG